CUGCACUUCGGUGCGGCCAACCGCCGUGGAAGCAGUCUUUUUCACUAUUUCUUCCAUUUGUGCUCUGGAAGUCGGGGAUGAAUGCUUGAAAUCGGUUGCCUGUGCGGUUGUACCCUGGUGCGGUAUGUUUUCGGUGGACUCUAUAAUGCUUGUGUUGUUGCUAGCUUCUAUCAACAAGCGCAGCCGGUUUGAUAGCAUAGUACAUGUGCGGAAUUGGGUGAACACCCUAUUGUUGCAUACAUAUUAUGUCGGCUUUCAUGGAUGCGGUGCCCAUCGAGGAUUCCAUGGGCCUUUGGCCCGUGGAUUUCUUCGGGAAGUCCCUUGUGCAUGGAUCAUUACUCUGCUGCUUCGCUCUUGUCUUGACCAAUGUCAGGAUGUUUGAGUGGUGCUCGUGGGGUGUGCUCUUGUGCUUGCGAGAUGUUUGUCCCAUAAUUGAAUG
rnacentral:misc_RNA from 1 species